rnacentral:tRNA from 1 species
GGAGGGUAUAGCUCAGUGGUAGAGUGUGUGUUUAACAUGCACGAGGUCCUGGGUUCAAUCCCCAGUACCUCCA